ACGGAAUUUGGAUCAUGCCAUCUCUUUGGAUUUCUCCUGCAGUGUAGCUUUUCUUGUUUCGCCAUUGUCGCCGCCGUGCCGGAGAUUCACCGGACCCCCCCUUCUUCCGUUUAUAUCAUGGGUCAAAGACGAGACGUGGUAAAAUCGCCUAAAUAAGCAAAUCCCUUAUUUGUGGGAUUAAGCUCGUGGACUAGCAAGUCAACUGAGUGGAGCAGUGUGUUUUCGUGGCGGUUUGGUCUGAGAAAUGUCCCCAAAUGGAUGCAUUCGUUGCCGGUAGAUCCACGGCGGCAUUCCGAUAAACAGGAUCAUCUUCGGCCUCUAACCAUUUUUGCAACUGGGUACGGUGCGUUAAUGGCGUUUUUGGUGCUGUUCAUGUGGGCAAUUACGAGGAAUAGAAAUGCCAUCUUUGGAGCCAAGCCCCAAAGUUCGGAUUUUCAGUACGAAAGGGUUAGCGUAGUUGUAGCGGAGGGAUUCAAAGAUGUUACCACGAGAGGAUGAAGGUUUUUGGGAGAUUGUUAUCCAGUUCAUGGAACGGAAGGUGCCCCUGCCUGCAGCUAUCCAAAAAUUAGCUGCAUUGAUUCAUACUUGAGAAUGCGUUCAGAAAUGAAAAACUUUAAAACAUUGAAAUU